CAGGAGGGAGGGAGGCAAAGUGGGAUGGGUAUAGGCCAGCAGGAGCUCCUGGAGAUCCCAGGCCCAGUCCUUCCCUGCCAGGUUUCUGCCCCAGCCUCCUCUCUGGACUCCUACCCCCACAGAGCAGCCAAGGGGAUCCUUCUGAAUCUGUAUUCCUCCCCUGCUCAAAACCCUUCCAUGAUUCCCCAGUGCACUCAGUAUAAAGUCCAACCUCAACAUUCAAGGCCCUUUAGGUCUGGCCUCUGUUGACUUCCCUCUCCGUGGCCUCUUCCUCUGUGUCCCCGUCUCAGGGGAGCCCAGUUCCCAGAGGCCUAGUCCAAGGACUGAGAUGGAGCCAAGGCGGUCCUUCACAAGCAGAAGCACAGAGCAAAUCGUGAACGGCGCUGACUUCCCAGGCCUAGCUCGCGCCUCGCCCAGGACCUUCCCGGCAGCAAGAUUGCUGAGACGCCGAUCCCUCCGAAGCCGCGCCCGCCUCCCGGCUCCCUGGUUGUUGCUGGGGCAACGGCAGCCUCCUCCCCUGGCCUUGUCCCCGCCCUGCGGGUCGCUAAUUGGCCCUAGCAAUCUGUGGGGGGCGGGGAUAACCUGUGAUGGACACUUUCUCUCCCCCCUCUCCAUUUUGGGAAAGGCGUCUCUCCAACCGCGAACCACGGUUCAGCCAUUUGCGGCGUGGCCUUAUGUGGCCAUCUUGAGCGUGGAUGAGGAAGUUUGGGCACCAGAUACUCUCAUAACAGAAUAUCCCACAGGGUGGAUAAUUAUCAGCCUUAUUUAAGAUGAAGAAAUUAGGGGAAAAUCGUUUGCCUUAAACCAAAUUGAUGGGCUUCCCUGGUGGCGCAGUGGUUAAGAAUCCGCCUGCAGGGGACACGGGUUCAAGCCCUGGUCCAGGAAUAUCCCACAUGCCGCGGAGCAACUAAGCUCCUGCACCACAACUACUGAGCCUGCGCUCUAGAGCCCUUGAGCCAGAACCACUGAAGCCCGCGUGUGCCUAGAGCCUGAGCUCGGCAACAAGAGAAGCGAUGAGAAGCCGGCGCGCCGCAACGAAGAGUAACCCGCGCUCGCAGCAACUAGAGAAAGCCCGCGCGCAGCAACGAAGACCCAACGCAGCCAAAAAUAAAAUAAAUAAAUAAAUUUAUUUUAAAAAAACCCAAAUUGAUUAUAGUUCUGGCUCACUCCGUCCCCACACCUUAUGUUCUUAACUUCCUGCUGUCCUGCCUCUUUUGUAUACACAUCUCCCAGUAUCAAAGGAAUAUGGAGGUUAUUGGUGUCAUCCUCAACUCCAUCACUUACCACGUCCAACCAGUCAUCAGAGUUCCAUACAUGGGACUUCCCUGGCGGUCUAGCGGAUAAGACUCCGCGCUUCCACUUCAGCGGCCAUGGGGUUCGAUCCCUUGUUGGGGAACUAAGAUCCUGCAUACCACGUGGCAUGGCCAAAAAACAAACAAAAGUCUCAUACAAUGCUCCUUCUUAAAUAUUUUUUUCUUCAGUUGGUUUCUUUCCCACUGGUUGACAUUAGUGAUUAAGAAAAUGCUUCCCAGUUCAACUACCUGGAUUUAAGUCUUAGCUCUGGCUCUCUGUGUGACCUUUAGCCUCUCUGUACCUUAGUUUCCUCAUCUGUAACGUGAGAAUGAGUGAUGGUACCCACCUUGUUAGAUUAUUGUCAGGAUUUAAUGAAUGUAUGAAGCUGUUUUAAAAUAUGUCCACAGAUUCUUUGACACUCCUUCUUUCACUAGGCGCAGUCUAAUUUCCCUCCUCUUGAGUAUAGGCUGCACUUUGUAACUUGCUUCUAACCAGCAGAAUAUGGUAGAAGUGUUGCUGUGUGACUUCUUAGACUAAGCCAUAAAAGGCAUUGAGGCUUCCUCAUCCAUCUCUCUAUUGAAUGGCUCACUUUGAGAGAGACCAGCCACCAUUUGUGACAGCAGUGAAGCAGCCAGAGGAGAGACCCAAAUGGAGAACAACCAAGGCCCCAUGCCAACAAACCAGCACCAUGUGAGUGACCCAUCUUGGAAGGACAUCUUUCAGCCACAUCAAAUCUUCCAGUGACUGUUGCACCUGGCCAACAUGCUGACUGUAGCUUCACGACACCCUGAGCGAGAACCAGCCAGCUUGUGGGAUCUUAGUUCCCUGACAGCGAUUGAACCCAGGCCCUCGGCAGUGAAAGCGCUGAGUCCUAACCACUGGACCACCAGGGAAUUCCCACAUCUUGCAUUUUUCACUCAGUGAUACAUCUUGGAAAGUUAUCCAUAUCUUUAGAUCUAACUUGCUCUUUUUCAAAAAUAAAUGUUUUGAAGUGUACAGAAAAGUGCACAAAUCAUAAGUGAACAGCUGAAUUAAAUUUCAUAAACUGAACACACCUGGUAACCAGAACUCAGCUCAUGAAAAGAACAUGACCAGCCCCUCCAGGAUGCCCUUCAUGCCUCUUCCAGGAUGCCCCCAAAGGAAACCACUAA